AUUGAACGCUGGCGGCAGGCUUAACACAUGCAAGUCGAACGGUAACAUAAAGAAGCUUGCUUUUUUGAUGACGAGUGGCGGACGGGUGAGUAAUGCUUGGGAAUCUAGCUUAUGGAGGGGGAUAACUACGGGAAACUGUAGCUAAUACCGCGUAAUAUCGAAAGAUUAAAGUGUGGGACCUUCGGGCCACAUGCCAUAGGAUGAGCCCAAGUGGGAUUAGGUAGUUGGUGAGGUAAAGGCUCACCAAGCCGACGAUCUCUAGCUGGUCUGAGAGGAUGACCAGCCACACUGGGACUGAGACACGGCCCAGACUCCUACGGGAGGCAGCAGUGGGGAAUAUUGCGCAAUGGGGGCAACCCUGACGCAGCCAUGCCGCGUGAAUGAAGAAGGCCUUCGGGUUGUAAAGUUCUUUCGGUAGCGAGGAAGGCACUUAGUUUAAUAGACUAAGUGAUUGACGUAACUACA
rnacentral:rRNA from 1 species